rnacentral:tRNA from 1 species
CGUGGAGUAGUCCAGCUGGUAGAACGCCCACCAGCAAGUGGGAGGGCGCGGGUUCGAUUCCCGCCUCCAUGG